rnacentral:rRNA from 1 species
CGGGGUGAGUAAUGUCUGGGAAACUGCCUGAUGGAGGGGGAUAACUACUGGAAACGGUAGCUAAUACCGCAUAACGUCGCAAGACCAAAGUGGGGGACCUUCGGGCCUCAUGCCAUAAGAUGUGCCCAGAUGGGAUUAGCUAGUAGGUGGGGUAACGGCUCACCUAGGCGACGAUCCCUAGCUGGUCUGAGAGGAUGACCAGCCACACUGGAACUGAGACACGGUCCAG